AGAUUGAACGCUGGCGGAAUGCUUUACACAUGCAAGUCGAACGGCAGCACGGGGGCAACCCUGGUGGCGAGUGGCGAACGGGUGAGUAAUACAUCGGAACGUGCCCAGUCGUGGGGGAUAACGUAGCGAAAGCUACGCUAAUACCGCAUACGAUCUAUGGAUGAAAGCGGGGGAUCGCAAGACCUCGCGCGAUUGGAGCGGCCGAUGGCAGAUUAGGUAGUUGGUGGGGUAAAGGCUCACCAAGCCUGCGAUCUGUAGCUGGUCUGAGAGGACGACCAGCCACACUGGGACUGAGACACGGCCCAGACUCCGUACGGGAGCAGCGAGUGGGGAAUUUGGACAAGUGGGCGCAAGCC
rnacentral:rRNA from 1 species